rnacentral:rRNA from 1 species
GACGAACGCUGGCGGCGUGCUUAACACAUGCAAGUCGAACGGAAAGGCCCCUUUGGGGGUACUCGAGUGGCGAACGGGUGAGUAACACGUGAGUAACCUGCCCUUGACUUCGGGAUAACUUCAGGAAACUGGGGCUAAUACCGGAUAGGAAUCCUUGCUGCAUGGUGGGGGUUGGAAAGCUUCGGCGGUUUUGGAUGGACUCGCGGCUUAUCAGCUUGUUGGUGGGGUUGUGGCUUACCAAGGCUUUGACGGGUAGCCGGCCUGAGAGGGCGACCGGCCACAUUGGGACUGAGAUACGGCCCAGACUCCUACGGGAGGCAGCAGUGGGGAAUAUUGCACAAUGGGCGGAAGCCUGAUGCAGCAACGCCGCGUGCGGGAGGACGGCCUUCGGGUUGUAAACCGCUUUCAGCAGGGGCGAAGCUUGUGGUGACGGUACCUGCAGAAGAAGCACCGGCUAACUACGUG